rnacentral:misc_RNA from 1 species
UCACUACUUGCGUAGGCAGUCUGGCUAGAGUCCCCACCAUAACGUGCUGGUAACUAACCACAGGGGUUGCGCUCGUUGCGCCACUUAAGGCAACACCUCACGGCACGAGCUGACGACAGCCAUGCAGCACCUUCCGGCCUGCCCCGAAGGGACAUCCCUUUUCAGGGACCAUCAGGCCGGAUUUAGCCCAGGUAAGGUUCUUCGCGUUGCAUCGAAUUAAGCCACAUGCUCCACCGCUUGUGCGGGCCCCCGUCAAUUCCUUUGAGUUUCAUUCUUGCGAACGUACUCCCCAGGUGGUGUGCUUACUGCGUUAACUGCGUCACUGAUCCCGAAAGACCAACAACUAGCACACAUCGUUUACAGCGUGGACUAC